rnacentral:rRNA from 1 species
UACGUAGGGUGCAAGCGUUGUCCGGAAUUAUUGGGCGUAAAGAGCUCGUAGGCGGUCUGUCGCGUCGGCUGUGAAAACUCGGGGCUCAACUCCGAGCUUGCAGUCGAUACGGGCAGGCUAGAGUUCGGCAGGGGAGACUGGAAUUCCUGGUGUAGCGGUGAAAUGUGCAGAUAUCAGGAGGAACACCGGUGGCGAAGGCGGGUCUCUGGGCCGAUACUGACGCUGAGGAGCGAAAGCGUGGGGAGCGAACAGG